GUGCCAGCAGCCGCGGUAAGACGAACCGUACAAACGUUAUUCGGAAUCAUUGGGCUUAAAGGGUGCGUAGGCGGUGCGGAAAGUUGGGUGUGAAAUCCCUCGGCUCAACCGAGGAAUUGCGCCCAAAACUACCGUGCUCGAGGAAGACAGAGGUGAGUGGAACUUAGGGUGGAGCGGUGAAAUGCGUUGAUAUCCUAAGGAACACCAGUGGCGAAAGCGACUCACUGGGUCUUUUCUGACGCUGAGGCACGAAAGCUAGGGGAGCAAACGGGAUUAGAUACCCCUGUAGUCC
rnacentral:rRNA from 1 species